rnacentral:rRNA from 2 species
CCAACAGGGAUUGCCUUAGUAACGGCGAGUGAAGCGGCAAUAGCUCAAAUUUGAAAUCUGGCGCUUGCGUCCGAGUUGUAAUUUGUAGAGGAUGAUUUUGGUUAGGUACCUUUCGAGUUCCUUGGAACAGGACGCCUUAGAGGGUGAGAGCCCCGUACGAUUGGAUGCCGAGCCUCUGUAAAUCUCCUUCGACGAGUCGAGUAGUUUGGGAAUGCUGCUCUAAAUGGGAGGUAAAUUUCUUCUAAAGCUAAAUACCGGCCAGAGACCGAUAGCGCACAAGUAGAGUGAUCGAAAGAUGAAAAGCACUUUGAAAAGAGGGUUAAAUAGCACGUGAAAUUGUUGAAAGGGAAGGAUUUAUGACCAGACUUUUUCUAGGAGAAUCAUCCGGUGUUCUCACCGGUGCACUUCUUUUAGUUUAGGCCAGCAUCGACUUUCGGCGGUGGAUAAAAGCUUUAGGAAUGUGGCUUCUCUCGGGAAGUGUUAUAGCCUAUUGUAUAAUACACUGCUGGGGGUCGAGGUACGCGCUUCUGCAAGGAUGCUGGCGUAAUGGUUAUCAAUCACCCGUCUUGAAACACGGACCAAGGAGUCGAACAUUUGUGCGAGUGUUUGGGUGUUAAACCCUCACGCGUAAUGAAAGUGAACGGAGGUGAGAGCCCUUACGGGUGCAUCAUCGACCGAUCCUGAUGUUUUCGGAUGGAUUUGAGUAAGAGCAUAAAUGUUCGGACCCGAAAGAUGGUGAACUAUGCGUGGAUAGGGUGAAGCCAGAGGAAACUCUGGUGGAGGCUCGCAGCGGUUCUGACGUGCAAAUCGAUCGUCAAAUCUGCGCAUGGGGGCGAAAGACUAAUCGAACCAUCUAGUAGCUGGGUACCGCCGAAG